CAGCAGCCACGGUAAUACGAAGGGGGCUAGCGUUGUUCGGAUUUACUGGGCGUAAAGCGCACGUAGGCGGAUCGAUCAGUCAGGGGUGAAAUCCCAGAGCUCAACUCUGGAACUGCCUUUGAUACUGUCGAUCUGGAGUAUGGAAGAGGUGAGUGGAAUUCCGAGUGUAGAGGUGAAAUUCGUAGAUAUUCGGAGGAACACCAGUGGCGAAGGCGGCUCACUGGUCCAUUACUGACGCUGAGGUGCGAAAGCGUGGGGAGCAAACAGGAUUAGAUACCCCGAGUAGUCCCUGUCUCUUAUA
rnacentral:rRNA from 1 species